GAUGAACGCUAGCUACAGGCCUAACACAUGCAAGUCGAGGGAACGGCGCACGGGAGAGUAACACGUAUACAACCUGCCCUUUACUCGGGGAUAGCCUUUCGAAAGAAAGAUUAAUACCCGAUAUAAAGGAUGGGGAUGCGUUACAUUAGGUUGUUGGUGAGGUAACGGCCAACCAAGCCUUCGAUGGCUAGGGGUUCUGAGAGGAAGGUACCCCACAUUGGAACGGAGACACGGUCCAAACUCCGACGGGAUGCAGCAGGUAGGAAUAUUGGUCAAUGGGCGCUAGCAUGAACCAGCCAAGUAGCGUGAAGGAUGAAUGCUUAUGGGUCGUAAACUGCUUUUAUAUAAGAAGAUGUAUUAUAUGAAUAAGGAUCGGCUAACUCCGUGCCAGCAGCCGCGGUAAUUC
rnacentral:rRNA from 1 species